ACAUUGUGCUUGCACAGAUGACGACCGGCGCACGGGUGCGUAACGCGUAUAGAACCUACCUUUUACAGAGGAAUAGCCUUUAGAAAUGAAGAUUAAUGCCUCAUAGUAUUGUAGACUGGCAUCAGUUUAUAAUUAAAGAUUUAUCGGUAAAAGAUGGCUAUGCGUCCUAUUAGUUAGUUGGUAAGGUAACGGCUUACCAAGACAGCGAUAGGUAGGGGUCCUGAGAGGGAGAUCCCCCACACUGGUACUGAGACACGGACCAGACUCCUACGGGAGGCAGCAGUGAGGAAUAUUGGACAAUGGAGGAGACUCUGAUCCAGCCAUGCCGCGUGUAGGAAGAAUGCCCUAUGGGUUGUAAACUACUUUUAUACAGGAAGAAACACUGGUAUGUAUACCAGCUUGACGGUACUGUAAGAAUAAGGACCGG
rnacentral:rRNA from 1 species